rnacentral:rRNA from 1 species
GAUGAACGCUGGCGGCGUGCCUAAUACAUGCAAGUCGAGCGAACAGACGAGGAGCUUGCUCCUCUGACGUUAGCGGCGGACGGGUGAGUAACACGUGGAUAACCUACCUAUAAGACUGGGAUAACUUCGGGAAACCGGAGCUAAUACCGGAUAACAUGUUGAACCGCAUGGUUCAACAGUGAAAGACGGUCUUGCUGUCACUUAUAGAUGGAUCCGCGUCGCAUUAGCUAGUUGGUAAGGUAACGGCUUACCAAGGCAACGAUGCGUAGCCGACCUGAGAGGGUGAUCGGCCACACUGGAACUGAGACACGGUCCAGACUCCUACGGGAGGCAGCAGUAGGGAAUCUUCCGCAAUGGGCGAAAGCCUGACGGAGCAACGCCGCGUGAGUGAAGAAGGUCUUCGGAUCGUAAAACUCUGUUAUUAGGGAAGAACAAAUGUGUAAGUAACUAUGCACGUCUUGACGGUACCUAAUCAGAAAGCCACGGCUAACUACGUG